GGGCACUGCUCCCCUCAUAGGCUGUGGUGGUGUAACUAGCGGUGAGGAUGCGUACAAGAAGAUACGUUCUGGAGCUACACUUGUUCAACUUUACACUGCUCUUGCCUAUGGUGGUCCAGCUCUCAUCCCAAGAAUAAAGGCUGAGCUAGCAGAAUGUCUGGAAAGAGACAGUUUCAAAUCGGUCC